rnacentral:rRNA from 1 species
UCCUAGCCGUAAACGAUGGUCACUAGGUGUCGGGAACAUCGAGCUUCUCGGUGCCGCAGCUAACGCAUUAAGUGACCCGCCUGGGUAGUACGGCCGCAAGGCUAAAACUCAAAGGAAUUGACGGGGGCCCGCACAAGCGGUGGAGCAUGUGGAUCAAUUCGACGCUACGCGAAGAACCUUACCAGGGCUUAACAUUCCCUCGAAAGGCUGGGAAACCAGUCCCUUUCGGAUUUCGGUCUGGAACGGGGGAAUAGGUGGUGCAUGGUUGUCGUCAGCUCGUGUCGUGAGAUGUUGGGUUAA